rnacentral:sRNA from 1 species
CUCUAGCCCCGAUAGAAAUGAAAAUCCUUUUGUGCCGAUGUUCGGCAUAAAAGAUUGAAAUGAAUAGCGGGACAAAAG